CCCAGUGUGAGCAAGGACUCCGAGCUACGCAUUUCUACGACUGUCUUUGGGUGUAGGUUUUCAUACCUGUGGAAUCAGAUGUCACUACUCAGUAGACACAAGUGUCAGAAGGAUUGGCGCUUCCUAAAUGCUCAUGUUGGUUUCCUCCGCCCAGCCACCACUACUCUCCAGCACUUUCUGCUGGACUUUGAAGAAUGUUGGUGUGAUAAUCGCAGGGAAGAACCUCUGCCUCUGGAAACCAUAUGUUACUGCACACUCACGGAGCUUCAACUCGGGUUCCACACCCAGAAAGAAUUGUGUAACUCAGGGGGACUCUUCCCACCUCUUCCUUGAUCACACUUGGGGUGAGAGACACGCAUACCUGAAGGAACGUGUGAUGCUUUGUGGAAGUCAGUCUUGAGCUUGGUACAGUGUGGCCUUAGGAACCAUUCCGUCUCUCUCAGCAGUGGACAGCCUGCGGGUAUGAGGGGAGAGGGGGACAGAGAAUAGGUAGGAGAGAGGGAGACUAUGUGACUUCAGUUUUGAGGGCGGCCCACUUUGGAUCAUGUUUACGGAGAGGCUUUGCUCCUGGGACCCCGCAGAACAGCGUGGAGGGGUUGUCCAAGGAAUGAAGACGUUCCUAGGGCUGCCCUCUGGUCUCCCCUCCAAACCACCGUGUGUGUGUGUGUGUGUGUGUGUGUGUGUGUGUGUGUGUGUUCAAGGGAAGGAAUCUGGGCUUAUUCAUGAGCGGCGCUAUCUUUCCACAGGAUAUUCAUUGUUUUGAAAAUAGGAGAAAACCUCAGCCGCUCUGAAGCAUAUAAUUAUGCUUUCUUAUUACCCAACAAGAAUGUUCUCCGGAGUGUUGUUGUGAUGAUAUACUUGCAAGUACUUGGCAGAGAGAAGGGGAGCCGAGGAGGAGGGUGGGAGGCCAGGGAGCCGAGCGGCUUGCCUUCCAUUCGGCUUGUUCCGUCUUUCCUGUCUAACAGCUCUCACGGCUCUGUAGGCUUUUCCUCAAGUCAGCUAGGUGGAUUUUUGGUGUGGGUUCCCAGGCUCCAUUUGGUUAUCAGUGUAAUGAGUGAUUUCAGAGUAUUAGGGCAGAUUCCACGAUCACUGAAUCAUGUACAGAUUCAAGGCCAGAAGAUGACAUCAGAAACAUAUGUGUUCGUCUGGAGGCAACACUUGGCCUGAGAAACAGAGCAAGAUCUCCAGUGGGAGAAUUAGACUUUCACUGGCCUAAAGAGGACCCCAGGAGGGUGACAAGGUCAUCUUACUCCAGGCUACGGUCUUACCGAUGCCUACAUUCCCCGUUGUGUGUGCUCCUGUGUAUCUAUGUAUGUCUACGUGCGCACACACACGCGCACAACCCACGGAAGAUCUGUGGUCUCUUCUCAAGAAACUGACUUCACCAUUUUAGAUUAGGGACCAGUAAUAAGAUAUCUUUCCAAAGGACCUGCCUCAUUUUCUCCCUGGGCACGCAGAAGCACCAAGACACUCCAAACUCUCUUGUGUUUGGAUGAAUAGUUGUGGUGACUUGACAGCACCGUUCGUUCACUCGCUCAUUCGUUAGAGACGUAUUUACUGAGCAUCUCUUAUGACAGACAGAGCCCUUGAACCAGACACGGAGCUACACGUUGGAUACCUGAUCUACACCCAGCUGGAUCCCAGUGCAGGCCUUGAACUCACAACCUUGAGAUCAAGAUCUGAGCUGACAUCAAGGGUUGGAUACUCAACGAGCCACCCAGAAGCUCCGGAAAUUUCAGUAAUUCUUGAAAUCUUUCUCUUUUUUGUAUUUCCGCAGCCAGUCAGUCACAAAGCCAGCGAAUCUCAUCUCAUAAAGGUCCCCACUUCAUUAUCUUAGAUCAGAGCAUUACCAUCGUUCACCUUGGGGAUUGCAAUGGUUUCAUCUGUGCAAUUCCAGCUUCUCUUUACCCUGCAUUCCACUUUGUCCUUUAUCGUACCACCAAAAAUAUUUGUCUAAAAAACAAAGCUGACCGUGUAAUCCAAAAUGCAUCACCGUCUAGUUCCUGUACUCAGCUCCCGUGAUUCUGUGCCUCCAACCCUUCACCACAGUCAUUCUGAUGGAAUGAGUUGUUUCCUGAAACACCAGACUCUUUCACAACCCUGUGCUGUCUUCUGUCUGCAUUGUUCUUCUCGUUCUCUAAGAAAUUCUGAAUCAGCCUCCAAGAGUCUGCUUAAAAACCUUCUCUUAUGUCAAGCCUCCUCCAACUCUUCCCGCCAAGGUGGUCCUGUGAUUUCCAUUCGCUUUCCCCAUUUUUCUAUACUAGCACUUUUCAGGUCAUCUGGUAGUUUGGUUUAUCCAUUUAACAUUGCUCGUAUCUAAUAGAUUAAAAACUCAGGUCAUGUUUCUCUCAUUUCUGUAUUCAGAGUAUGUCCAUUUCUUCUUUUGUUUAAGUGCUUUGAGGGAGGCUCCCGUGGGGUUUCAGAGGAAGUUGUAGAGGAGAGAGGGUACAAAUAAUUCAACCUUUCAGUUAGCGUUCCUUGACAAAUUAGAAAGACUCCCUUUUGACACAGGGUCCCUGUCUAAUCUUGAUGAUCAGAAGGGAUGGGAGCCCAAAGUUGUUAGAUCACUGAUCCUCAGGAUGCCAGCUCUCAGCACUGCCCACUGAAAUCCCAGAGUGGAACAGGAAAGAGGAGGAAAGAGGAGACCAUGCCCAAGUCAGCAACUCAGAGUCAGUGUAAAGAAUUAGAUCUCUGGCCAUCUUCUCUCGGAUGUGGUGGGCUGCUAUUCACACGGUGGACCUGCCCACUGCCCGGCCCUUGCCCAGCACACUGACUGCCAUUCCCUGCCCCCUGCUCGAGGCAGCACCAAAUUAUUUGUAUUUCUCUACAUAUAAUGUGCUCCUAACACCCUCUUUGCUUUUGCUCAUGGUGUUGUCUUUGCUAGAACGCCGCUUCAGACCCCCCAUCCAUUUUGAUGAAUGAAUCCCCAAUCAAGAUAAAUUCAGCCAUCACCUCUCAAUCCUCACCCAUCUCUGACCCAUCCAUCUUCUUUACCAGGGUGGGUUGGAUGCUGUUCUGCAAUGGCAUCCUCUACACUAGUGCCGGAGUUUCACGGCAUAAUGUUGCCCGGCUGAGGAAGUAAGUUCCGAUUUCCAACCCAAGUUCACUGCCUUGCAUGUGCCUUUAGAGCUGGAAUUAUUUCCUAAUUCACACAAAGGCAGACUCAGAGUGCCCUGUGCGUAUCCCCAUCCCUGGCAUGAUCGACCACAGCGUACUAUGGGUAUCUAUCCAUCUAUUUCCUCCACUGGAGCCCCUGGAGGGCCUGCUCCUGGACUUAGCACAGCGUUUGGCAUUGAGUAACUGUUGAGUGAAAUGUUUGCUGGAUUCUAACAGUUAUUAAGGACUAGACACUGUUCUAGGAACUUUCGAGGCCUCAAGUCAUUGACUUCUCACAAUAAUCGUGAGGACAGGGACCACUUUACCCAUUUACACAAGAGCGAAAACUGAAGCACCAAGCAAUGAAGAGAGGUGCUUCCGUCACAUGGCUGGUGUGUGCGCUUCAGCCAGGGCUGGCUGCCUUUGGGCUCCGUGUAACCCAUCCUCUUAGCCACUGUACCACACCACCUCUUAACUGAAAACUUGUCAGUCCUCUACUUCCUUGUGUUUCUCCUUCAGGAAAAAUACAAAAACAAGGACGCCUGGGUGGCUCCGCAGUUGAGCAUCUGCCUCUGGCUCAGGGUGUGACCCUGGGGUCCUGGGAUCGAUUCCCACAUCUGGCUCCUUGCAGGGAGCCUGCCUCUCCCUCUGCUGUGUCUCUGCCUCUCUGUGUGUGUCUCAUGAAUAAAUAAGUAAAAUAUUAAAACAAAACAAAACAAAACAAAAAAACCCCAAACAGUCCUUUGUGCCGUAUCUGGGAAACCUACUCCCAAUCUGGA